rnacentral:rRNA from 1 species
ACGUAGGGUGCAGGCGUUAAUCGGAAUUACUGGGCGUAAAGCGUGCGCAGGCGGCUUCCUAAGUCAGAUGUGAAAUCCCCGGGCUUAACCUGGGAACUGCGUUUGAAACUGGGAGGCUGGAGUGCGGCAGAGGGGGGUGGAAUUCCACGUGUAGCAGUGAAAUGCGUAGAUAUGUGGAGGAACACCGAUGGCGAAGGCAGCCCCCUGGGCCUGCACUGACGCUCAUGCACGAAAGCGUGGGGAGCAAACAGGAUUAGAUACCCUGGUAGUCCACGCCCUAAACUAUGUCGACUAGUUGUUGGGGGAAUUUGUCCCUCAGUAACGUAGCUAACGCGUGAAGUCGACCGCCUGGGGAGUACGGUCGCAAGAUUA